GGUGGUUUAUUAAGUCGGGUGUGAAAUCCCCGGGCUCAACCUGGGAACUGCAUCCAAAACUGAUUCACUAGAGUACGAUAGAGGGAGGUAGAAUUCACAGUGUAGCGGUGGAAUGCGUAGAUAUUGUGAAGAAUACCAAUGGCGAAGGCAGCCUCCUGGAUCUGUACUGACACUGAGGUGCGAAAGCGUGGGUAGCGAACAGGAUUAGAUACCCUGGUAGUCCACGCCGUAAACGAUGUCAACUAUCUGUUGGAAAGCAUUGCUUUUCAGUGGAGCAGCUAACGUAAUAAGUUGACCGCCUGGGGAGUACGGCCGCAAGGCUAAAACUCAAAUGAAUUGACGGGGACCCGCACAAGCGGUGGAGCAUGUGGUUUAAUUCGAUGCAACGCGAAAAACCUUACCUAUGCUUGACAUACUUGGAAUACUUUGUAAUGAAGUAGUGCCUUCGGGAGCCAGGAUACAGGUGCUGCAUGGCUGUCGUCAGCUCGUGUCGUGAGAUGUUCCGUUAAGUCGGAUAACGAGCGCAACCCUUACCCUUAUUUGCCAGCGAUUCGGUCGGGAACUAUAAGGGGACUGCCGGUGAUAAACCGGAGGAAGGUGAGGACGACGUCAAGUCAUCAUGGCCCUUACGCAUAGGGCUACACACGUGCUACAAUGGAGAAUACAGACGGACGCUAAGCCGCGAGGUGGUGCCAAUCCUAGAAAGUUCUUCGUAGUCCGGAUUGGAGUCUGCAACUCGACUCCAUGAA
rnacentral:rRNA from 1 species